rnacentral:tRNA from 1 species
GGGGCUGUGGCCUAGCCAGGUAGGGCGACGGGCUCCAGCGGUAUGACUGGAUGAUGAGCAACGGGUCUGCUGAGCCAUCCCGACGGGGAUGGUGUUGAUGAUCCGUUGGAGCACUGAGAUGAUCAUGUGUUCUCAGAAUCGGAGAGACCCGUCGAUCGUGCGUUCGAAUCGCACCAGCCCCA